GGUUGAAGGUUGGGUAACACUAACUGGAGGACCGAACCGACUAAUGUUGAAAAAUUAGCGGAUGACCUGUGGCUGGGGGUGAAAGGCCAAUCAAACCGGGAGAUAGCUGGUUCUCCCCGAAAGCUAUUUAGGUAGCGCCUCGUGAAUUCAUCUCCGGGGGUAGAGCACUGUUUCGGCUAGGGGGCCAUCCCGGCUUACCAACCCGAUGCAAACUGCGAAUACCGGAGAAUGUUAUCACGGGAGACACACGGCGGGUGCUAACGUCCGUCGUGAAGAGGGAAACAACCCAGACCGCCAGCUAAGGUCCCAAAGUCAUGGUUAAGUGGGAAACGAUGUGGGAAGGCCCAGACAGCCAGGAUGUUGGCUUAGAAGCAGCCAUCAUUUAAAGAAAGCGUAAUAGCUCACUGGUCGAGUCGGCCUGCGCGGAAGAUGUAACGGGGCUAAACCAUGCACCGAAGCUGCGGCAGCGACACUGUGUGUUGUUGGGUAGGGGAGCGUUCUGUAAGCCUGUGAAGGUGUGUCGUGAGGCAUGCUGGAGGUAUCAGAAGUGCGAAUGCUGACAUAAGUAACGAUAAAGCGGGUGAAAAGCCCGCUCGCCGGAAGACCAAGGGUUCCUGUCCAACGUUAAUCGGGGCAGGGUGAGUCGACCCCUAAGGCGAGGCCGAAAGGCGUAGUCGAUGGGAAACGGGUUAAUAUUCCCGUACUUGGUGUUACUGCGAAGGGGGGACGGAGAAGGCUAUGUUGGCCGGG
rnacentral:rRNA from 1 species